rnacentral:rRNA from 1 species
CGCAAUGGGCGAAAGUCUGACGGAGCGACGCCGCGUGAUUGAUGAAGCUUUUCGGAGUGUAAAGAUCUUUUAUGAGGGAAGAAGUUUAUUGACGGUACCUCAUGAAUAAGGGGCUCCUAAUCUCGUGCCAGCAGGAGCGGUAAUACGAGAGCCCCGAGCGUUAUCCGGAAUUAUUGGGCGUAAAGGGUGCGUAGGCGGUUUUGUUAGUCGUUUGUUAAAUCUCUAGGCUUAACCUAGAACUCGCGAGCGAAACGGCAAAACUAGAAAGUGUGAGGGGUGUACAGAACUCAUGGUGUAGGGGUGAAAUCCGUUGAUAUCAUGGGGAAUACCAAAAGCGAAGGCAGUACACUGGCACAUAUUUGACGCUCAAGCACCAAAGCGU